rnacentral:rRNA from 1 species
CAGUCGCCGCGGUAAUACAGAGGUCUCAAGCGUUGUUCGGAUUCAUUGGGCGUAAAGGGCGCGUAGGCGGUCGGGUAAGUCGGAUGUGAAAUCCUGGGGCUCAACCUCAGAACUGCAUUCGAUACUGCUUGGCUAGAGGACUGGAGAGGAGACUGGAAUUCACGGCGUAGCAGUGAAAUGCGUAGAUAUCGUGAGGAAGACCAGCGGCGAAGGCGGGUCUCUGGACAGUUCCUGACGCUGAUGCACGAAGGCCAGGGGAGCAAACGGGAUUAGAUACCCGAGUAGUCCCUGUCUCUUAUAC